rnacentral:rRNA from 1 species
AUUGAACGCUGGCGGCAUGCCUUACACAUGCAAGUCGAACGGUAACAGGUUAAGCUGACGAGUGGCGAACGGGUGAGUAAUAUAUCGGAACGUGCCCAGUUGUGGGGAUAACUACUCGAAAGAGUGGCUAAUACCGCAUGAGACCUGAGGGUGAAAGCGGGGGAUCGCAAGACCUCGCGCAAUUGGAGCGGCCGAUAUCAGAUUAGCUAGUUGGUGGGGUAAAAGCCCACCAAGGCCACGAUCUGUAGCUGGUCUGAGAGGACGACCAGCCACACUGGGACUGAGACACGGCCCAGACUCCUACGGGAGGCAGCAGUGGGGAAUUUUGGGACAAUGGACGCAAGUCUGAUCCAGCCAUGCCGCGUGCGGGAAGAAGGCC